rnacentral:rRNA from 1 species
AUUGAACGCUGGCGGCAUGCCUUACACAUGCAAGUCGAACGGCAGCGCGGGAGCAAUCCUGGCGGCGAGUGGCGAACGGGUGAGUAAUAUAUCGGAACGUGCCCAGUAGUGGGGGAUAGCCCGGCGAAAGCCGGAUUAAUACCGCAUGAGACCUGAGGGUGAAAGCGGGGGAUCGCAAGAUCUCGCGCUAUUGGAGCGGCCGAUAUCAGAUUAGCUAGUUGGUGGGGUAAAGGCCUACCAAGGCAACGAUCUGUAGUUGGUCUGAGAGGACGACCAGCCACACUGGGACUGAGACACGGCCCAGACUCCUACGGGAGGCAGCAGUGGGGAAUUUUGGACAAUGGGCGCAAGCCUGAUCCAGCAAUGCCGCGUGCAGGAAGAAGGCCU